AGUGAACGCUGGCGGUAGGCCUAACACAUGCAAGUCGAACGGCAGCACAGUAAGAGCUUGCUCUUACGGGUGGCGAGUGGCGGACGGGUGAGGAAUACAUCGGAAUCUACUUUUUCGUGGGGGAUAACGUAGGGAAACUUACGCUAAUACCGCAUACGACCUACGGGUGAAAGCAGGGGAUCUUCGGACCUUGCGCGAUUGAAUGAGCCGAUGUCGGAUUAGCUAGUUGGCGGGGUAAAGGCCCACCAAGGCGACGAUCCGUAGCUGGUCUGAGAGGAUGAUCAGCCACACUGGAACUGAGACACGGUCCAGACGCCUACGGGAGGCAGCAGUGGGGAAUAUUGGACAAUGGGCGCAAGCCUGAUCCAGCCAUACCGCGUGGGUGAAGAAAGCCUUCGGGUUGUAAAGCCCUUUUGUUGGGAAAGAAAAGCAGCAGGUUAAUACCCCGCUGUUCUGACGGUACCCAAAGAAUAAGCACCGGCUAACUUCGUG
rnacentral:rRNA from 1 species